GAAGAUUUAGUUAAAUAAUAACACUAAAAUGUCAAAUUAGAAUUAUCAAAAUUGAUAAUCUUCU
rnacentral:tRNA from 1 species